rnacentral:rRNA from 1 species
AUUGAACGCUGGCGGCAUGCCUUACACAUGCAAGUCGAACGGUAACAGGUCUUCGGAUGCUGACGAGUGGCGAACGGGUGAGUAAUACAUCGGAACGUGCCUAGUAGUGGGGGAUAACUACUCGAAAGAGUGGCUAAUACCGCAUGAGAUCUACGGAUGAAAGCAGGGGAUCGCAAGACCUUGUGCUACUAGAGCGGCCGGUGGCAGAUUAGGUAGUUGGUGGGAUAAAAGCUUACCAAGCCGACGAUCUGUAGCUGGUCUGAGAGGACGAUCAGCCACACUGGGACUGAGGCACGGCCCAGACUCCUACGGGAGGCAGCAGUGGGGAAUUUUGGACAAUGGGCGCAAGCCUGAUCCAGCAAUGCCGCGUGCAGGAUGAAGGCCUUCGGGUUGUAAACUGCUUUUGUACGGAACGAAAAGCCCUGGGUUAAUACCCUGGGGUCAUGACGGUACCGUAAGAAUAAGCACCGGCUAACUACGUGCCAGCCGCCGCUGUAA